CCCCCGUGUGCGCCCGCACCGCCCGUGACACCGCGCUCCCUCCCCGCCGCCCGGAGAUGAAGAGCUUUGCUAAAAGGUCUCAAAUCACCUCGCACUCUGCGGAGACAGCACCCAGGGAUCUCUUCCCCAGGCAGCGCAGCACGGCCUCGGCAGGAAGCUGAACAGCGCCCAGCAGCUAAAAUCAAGUGUUUCCGAGCAGAGGGUAGCGAGCUGGGUGCUCUCAGAUUUCCAGAAUUUUUCUGUUUGUGUGAAAAUGAAGAGAACGAUGCCUGCAGCCAAACCUCCAAUCUAGCAACUAUUAGCUUUCCAAAAUUCAGAGCACCAUUAUCAAAUCCAUGACACUAACAACAUGGUAUGUGAUCUCCACCCAGGCUUAUCUUUCCAGUUUUAUUCAAGAAUUUUAACUGGCAGAGGAACUUGUCACUUUGAAUGUGAUUUUACAUUUUUUCUUGAUGCCUAGAAAUUGUUUAUCUUUAGUAGGAUCUAAAUGUUUUCUUCCCUUUUGAAAUGCCUCUAGCCUGAACAGUCUGUUCACAGCUGAAACAGAAUUUGUAAGCAGGCUGGCAUUCAUGGUGUGACUCUGAAAACACUUUCUCACCUGAUCCAGAUUAAUUUAGACUGCCACUGAAUUGUCAGUCUGCUGAAUCUCCCUGGAGUAACUUUUCUACAUUAUGAAAAUUUAAAAAGAACUUCUGCUUUUAAGAAUGAAUUGACAAGUGAAAAAGUGAUAGUUCACAGAAUACCCACAGACGUAAAGCAAAAUGUCUCCAAAACCUUAAUUACAGUACAAGGAUAAGAAUGGUGAGAUUGGUGGUAAACUACAUUUAUAAGAGCAAAUAUUUAAAAGUUAGGAAAGCCUAGAAGUUAAGGUCGACAGGCAAAGUAUACAGGAUUUUUUUGUAUGUUUUGCAUA